CCUACGGGGGACUGUAGUGAGGAAUAUUGGUCAAUGGGCGCGAGCCUGAACCAGCCAAGUCGCGUGAGGGAAGACGGCCCUACGGGUUGUAAACCUCUUUUGCCGGGGAGCAACGGGCGCCACGUGUGGCGCCACUGAGAGUACCAGGAGAAAAAGCAUCGGCUAACUCCGUGCCAGCAGCCGCGGUCAUACGGAGGAUGAGAGCGUUAUCCGGAUUUAUUGGGUUAACGGGGUGCGUAGGCGGAGCGUUAAGUCAGUGGUCAAAUUGAGGGGCUCAACCCCUUCCCGCCAUUGAAACUGGCGCUCUUGAGUGGAAGAGAGGUAUGCGGAAUGCGUGGUGUAGCGGUGAAAUGCAUAGAUAUCACGCAGAACCCCGAUUGCGAAGGCAGCAUGCCGGCUUCCUACUGACGCUGAAGCACGAAAGCGUGGGGAUCGAACAGGAUUAGAUACCCUUGUAGUC
rnacentral:rRNA from 1 species